GUUGAAAAUCCUUAUUUUUAUCCCUUCUUUUCCUCUCUCUUCCUUCUCUUCUUUUCUUUUCUUGCACUGCGUUUCCCUUUUUGCGUUCUAUCUCUGUUUUCUGAUUUUUAUUUCUCACGCUUAGACCAUCAGACUUUAAAUUCCCCCCCCCCCCCCGCCACCCACACCCUCUUUUUUUGGGCUUGGCCCAAUUCUUUCUUUUUCUUUUUAAUAAUACGUAAUUCUCUUUUGAUAAAUUAUAAAUUAACCUCUCAUUAAAAUUGGGGUUGUUACAACUAGAACUUCUCAUCAUGAGAUAUAAGAUACGAUCUCUGCUUAGCCAUAGUCUUCUCCCAUAGUGGUGUAAGAGAUAUCCAAAGAAUCUUGGUGGACUACCUUUGGAAGCAGUACAAUUAGACUCCGUAGAGGUAAGGGAAGCAUCUACAUCAACAAGCUUAAGGAGUUGUUUGGUACACUUUUUUAUUUUUAUUUUUAUUUUUUAUCAUUUACAUGUGUCUCAUGAGAAAGAUCCUUGAUUGAAAUCCAGAUUCUUCGCCACCUUCUCUCCUUGAUUUUGAGAUUGUAAGGAUUUCUGCCCUCUUUCUCUUCAAAUUAAACUGGCAAAAUGGUUCGUUAUAAAUUUUUUACGUUACAGUCUUUCAUUAUUUUAUUCGAUCCAACGUUUCCCUCAGACUAGUAUGGGAAAUAAGGUUCAAAGGGAGGAAGAGAAGUCAAAGGAGAGGUGGGAGGUAUCACAAAUAUUAUUGUGAAGAAGCUGAUUGAGUAUUAAUCGGAUUCAAACUAAUAAAGGAGACCAUGAAUAAGGCUCCGGAAUGGAAGUGUUGUUAGGGAGCUGAAUGUCAUGCCAGACAUUAAUAUGGUUGCCAGUAGCAAUGUGCCAUUUAGUUCCCAUGCGAACUAAAUGGUCACCUCAAGCUAGACUCUUCCACAUAUAAGAGGCAGUGGGUUUCACUGUGAGGGUAUUGGGUAAGGGAUGGGUCUAGAACAUUAGCCCAAAGGGCGUGGGGAUAGCAAUGAAAUCGCCAAGCCAGGCUAGCCAAAAGGCCUAAGUAUUUUCCCUUUGUUUUCUAAAUUCCUAUACCUCUGGGCCGGUGAGAUAAUAUGGCCUUGUCCUAAUAAACAAGAUGGAUCUUUGUUUUGGUAGGAGUAGUGAUCAAUAGGAAAUUGCGUUGAAUUUUACAACGUCGGUAGUAAUUUUGGGCGGAGGAACGUUAUUAUGCAUGGCAUAAGUAAGGAUAGAGGCAAGAACAGAUGUAAUGAGGGUUCUAUGUCCAGCAAGACUGAGAAAUUUGAUUUUCCAAUCUUGGAAUAGAUAUGUUCAUGCGAUCAAGGAUAUAUUGAUGAUCUUGGCUGCGAGGCUGUAUGUUACAUCCCACACUUUUAUACGUUAAAGUGUGUCAUAAGUUCGGAGAGUAAGGCCAUUCUUAAGUUUAUAAGUGAUUAAAACCGUGUUUAGUAAGUAUCAUAUAGAUUAGAGGUUAAUCGAGUCGAAGAAAAGAAGUUUCGUUAGAAGUCGGCAAAAGUUAUCGCAAGUUACGUUCAUAAGUUUACUGAAAUUUGGGUCUAAUGUCACUGAGCUUUUCUUUUAAUAUACUUGGAGUUAUGGGAUGAUCCACCAACCAAAUUGAAGGUCUACGAGUCUAGUUUCAAACGCAUCACCGUUCAUCGAUACAACGUCAGGAUAGAGAGAUAUUUACAUUUUUGCGAGACUGCGCAGGUAGCCCCCUUUGGGACCCACAUAGGCGGUGGAUGUUUAUCCACCUAUUUUAAAGUGGUGCAAGGUUCAUUUGAGCUCAUUGUUCGACCUAUCUAGACCCUAUACACUCCGAACACUCUCAAAGUGUUCUCCAUGAUUCAAGAGUGAAAACCAAAGUAAAACACCCAAAUCCAAUGUCGGGAAUCUCGUGAUGCUAGUUAGAUCAAGUUCUUCUUCUUUAUUGUUGAGUUGGAGGUUUCCUUGAUGUGAAGUAAUCUCAGAUCAGAGGUCAUUCUUGCUGGUUGGGAUCACAAGUUCUCUUGUUUUGGUUGAUUUGAAGUUUGUUUCAAGGUGAACAAAGCUUGGAAUUGGUGUUGUCCCUACUGUUUUAAGGUAAUAUCUUCCACCUCUUUCAUGUGUUAGGGUAUAUCUAGAUACUGGCUAAGUUGUUUGAAGCUAGAACUUACGAGUCGACGGUCAAAAGUCGUAUAGAAGUUGUGAUACCAUGGACUAUUUUGAGGUAUUUUUAUGAUGCAUAUAUAUAUAUAUAUAUAUAUAUAUAUGUAUGUUGUUAAUAUGUAGUUUGAAGAGAAGAAGAAGUAUAGAAGUGUUGUGUUGCUAGUUAAGGACUGAGCUUGCUGCUCGAUGUAUCGUAUGCUAGCUAUUCCUUAGCUUGACGUUGGCCCUAUUGUUGUUGUUAUAUUGCAUUGUUGGGCUAUUCUUGUGUUGUUAAGGUGAUGGAUAGAUGGAUUAAUGGUGGCAUAUUAUUGUUGAUGUUGUGACCUUGAGGGAGGUGAAAGAAACGUGGGAGAUGCUGCCCGAUUUGCCCUAGAAUGAGCUUGUCACUCGAUAGCUAGUUGAUGUGUUACUCUUGUUGCUAGUAGUGUUGUUUUCAUUGGUGUAGAUUAUGUUGAAGAGGAGACUGUCCCACCAUCUUCGUCGAAGGAUCGACUUAAAGGUACUAAGUCCUUCCUUUCUUUCGACAUGAUUUCGUAAGUCACUUCGCCCUUAUAAGAAGUUCAAGGAGACGAGUUAUCAUAUAUGUUUCCUUCCGACGCUUGAGAUCCGUCGUGAGUUUGCAGAUAGUUAUAUGCGAGUAUAAAAGGUGUAUCUAGAUGUAAUUCCCUCAAAGUACUCUUAUGAGUAGUUAAAUCCUUCAGACAGCUUAGUACAGGUUAUGUCCCUACGAGUAGUUAUUUACUAUGAAAUGAGUAGCAAUGUUUGCAACUUCCUCAGCAUUCCUUAGAAGUAAGUAGAGCCUUCAGAAAAUCUAGUGCCUUGUAUAUAUUGAGAAGUGAACACUUAGUUGAUAGUCACAUGAAUAAGUUAAUGAGCUAAAGAUAGUAGUUUGCAGAAUAAUAGAAGCAUACGAUUUAACAAGUAUCAUGACGUUCAAUAGUUACAACUAUAUGAUUUCAAGAUAAUUAUGUGGUUAUAAAAUUGAUAUACUACUCCUAAGUUAAGUAAAACAAUAUGCGAGUUAAGAAAGAGUUAAGAGGCAGAAUAUGCAGCCAAAUGAGAAUAUGAGUUACGAGUUGUCAGUUACAGAUCACAGCAAGUCCCAUAACGAGGUUGUCAGUCGAUAGAAUAUGAGCCCGUAGCUUAUUACUUAUUGAUUGAUGGUUUCAUAUGAUCAGUCUAACGAGUUAGAAGUAUCGCAUAGUAAUUUGUAAAAGAUAGAAUCGUAUAAUUUCUCGAAACAGAUCAUAAAGCUCAAGUAAAGAUAGUGAUACGUUUCCUGAAGUAAUUAUAAACCUACUUAAUGAUAAGAGGAGUAUACUACGAGUAAGUAAAGCAGCAAGUUGCUUACUAAGAUUAUAAGUUGUUAAUCAUAGCGAGUUAUUUACGAGCUUACAGACAAAAGCUUACUUAUUAUUAGUGAUUGAUGCUUGUAUGAUUGUUAUGAAGUUGAAUAUGCAUAAGAUACGAGCCCUACAGACGGUCUAUGAACGCGUAGGCAUACAAUAAAAGGUUAGCCCUCUGGACGGUCUACGAAAGCAUAGGUGUAUAAUAAGGGUGGAUGUGGACGGUCUCAGUUGCACGCACAGUCCAGCCCGAGUAUCGUGAGCUGUAUGGACGGUCUAUUAUGUAAUGCGUAUGAGCCACUAGUUAUUCAUGAUUGUAAGUGAGUCGUACGGACGGUCUAUUAUGCAACGGGUACGAGCCACUAGUUAUUCAUGUUUGCAAGUGAGCCUUACGGACAGUCUGCGCUGCAACACAUAAGUGCCACUCUUAUUUUUCAGUUUAGCCUUAGGGCAUAUGAUCUAGCAGAGGUAAGUAAUCAGAUACAUUAUAUGAUAGUCAGAAUAGUAUUACAGAUAAGAAUCCUACAACAUAACAGUUCCACAGUAUAGAUAGUGUAUCCAGGUGAGGUCAGAUGUUUCGUGAUACGGUAAGAUGAAGUAUUCCAGUAUGUUAAUUCAUAUCCUUUCAGUAAAGUUUUACUUAUACAUUAUUUAUAUUCAUGAGCUCCAGAGUUAGGUAUAUAUAUCAUUUACAGCAUCAUUGCUUACAUUUUCCUUUAGGGCUAUACAAAUAUGCGCAUUGCAUUCAGGGCUAUACAAAGAUACAGUUUGUCGUCGGGCUAUUUACAUUUUCCUUUAGGGCUAUGCACUGCCUUCGGGGUUAUGCACUUAUACACUGAACCCCACAUGAGGCCGAAUAGUUUAUUUCAAUAUUGCAUUCAUGGUAUGAGACAGAGACUGGUAGAUAUGUUUCCAGAUUAUCAUUGACUCCUUAGUUUAUAUUCAGUAUAUCAUGUAUAUCAGUUCAAUUAUUCAGUUAUUAUCCGUCUUACAUACUUGGUACAAUUCUUUGUACCGACGUCCCAUUGUUGGGGCGCUGCAUUUCAUGCCUGCAGGUUUAGGUAACCAGUUUGACGAGCCCUCGCAGUAGACAGGGUCGAUAUUCAGCGAAGGAUCGGUAACACUCCAUUUCAUCCGGAGUGCAGCCGAGUCUAGUUGUCAGGGUAUCAGAUUAAGUUUGUAGACUUCAUGGGUAGGCCGGGGUCCUGUCCCGACCAUAUUAUGAUGUCAGUCACUCUUACAGACUUUUGUAGACGUAUGCACACCUGUGGUCAGUUAUAUUAUGUCAGCAGAGAGUUCGUACAUGUUGAGGCCUUAUAGGCCAUGUAUACAUAUAUGCUUGGGAUUUUCUGGUUGUAGAUACUUCGAAUGCAGUAGUUGUCAGUUGUACAGAAUGA